GACAGAGGGUGCAAACGUUGUUCGGAUUUACUGGGCGUAAAGCGCGUGUAGGCGGCUUUGCAAGUCGGAUGUGAAAGCCCACGGCUCAACCGUGGAGGUGCAUCCGAAACUGCAUGGCUCGAGUCUCGGAGAGGAAGGUGGAAUGCUUGGUGUAGAGGUGAAAUUCGUAGAUAUCAAGCAGAACACCUGCGGCGAAGGCGGCCUUCUGGACGAUGACUGACGCUGAGACGCGAAAGCGUGGGGAGCAAACAGG
rnacentral:rRNA from 1 species